rnacentral:tRNA from 1 species
UCCUAGUGGCUCAGACGGUAAAGUGUCUGUCUGCAAUGCAGGAGACCUAGGUUCGAUCCCUCGGCUGGGAA